rnacentral:rRNA from 1 species
UGGGGAAUAUUGGACAAUGGGCGAAAGCCUGAUCCAGCCAUGCCGCGUGAGUGACGAAGGCCUUAGGGUUGUAAAGCUCUUUUGGCGGGGAAGAUAAUGACGGUACCCGCAGAAUAAGCUCCGGCUAACUUCGUGCCAGCAGCCGCGGUAAUACGAAGGGAGCUAGCGUUGUUCGGAAUCACUGGGCGUAAAGCGCACGUAGGCGGAUUUGUCAGUCAGGGGUGAAAUCCCGGGGCUCAACCUCGGAACUGCCCUUGAUACAGCAAGUCUUGAGUUCGAAAGAGGUGGGUGGAAUUCCUAGUGUAGAGGUGAAAUUCGUAGAUAUUAGGAAGAACACCGGUGGCGAAGGCGGCCCACUGGCUCGAUACUGACGCUGAGGUGCGAAAGCGUGGGGAGCAAACAGGAUUAGAUACCCCCGUAGUCCCUGAGCGGGCUGGCAAGGCGCAU